rnacentral:ncRNA from 1 species
CCUAACCUUGGGACUGGUUAGGCUACACGUUGAUUAAUUUCCAAUUCAAUCACAACAAUUAGUAAUUUCGCAAUGAACUUUGAAGUGAUGGUGAUUUACUUUCAAUUAAUCAACUAUUUAUC